rnacentral:tRNA from 1 species
GUUUCUGUAGUGUAGUGGUCAUCACGUUUGCAUUACACGCAAAAGGUCCCCAGUUCGAAACUGGGCGGAAACA